rnacentral:rRNA from 1 species
UACAGAGGUCCCAAGCGUUGUUCGGAUUCACUGGGCGUAAAGCGCACGUAGGCGGAUCUUUAAGUCAGGGGUGAAAUCCCAAGGCUCAACCUUGGAACUGCCUUUGAUACUGGGGAUCUCGAGUCCGGAAGAGGUUGGUGGAACUGCGAGUGUAGAGGUGAAAUUCGUAGAUAUUCGCAAGAACACCAGUGGCGAAGGCGGCCAACUGGUCCGGUACUGACGCUGAGGUGCGAAAGCGUGGGGAGCAAACAGGG